UACGUAGGGUGCAAGCGUUGCUCGGAAUCAUUGGGCGUAAAGAGCGUGUAGGUGGCUAGGUAAGUCGGAUGUGAAAUCCCUCGGCUCAACCGAGGAAGUGCAUUCGAAACUACCCAGCUCGAGGACGACAGAGGAAGGUGGAAUUCCUAGUGUAGAGGUGAAAUUCGUAGAUAUUAGGAGGAAUACCGGUGGCGAAGGCGGCCUUCUGGAUCGUUCCUGACACUGAGACGCGAAAGCGUGGGUAGCAAACAGG
rnacentral:rRNA from 1 species